rnacentral:rRNA from 1 species
AGAGUUUGAUCCUGGCUCAGGACGAACGCUGGCGGCGUGCUUAACACAUGCAAGUCGAGCGAGGAGAUAACUGGAAGUUCUUCGGAAUGGAAGGUUAUGUUCGAGCGGCGGACGGGUGAGUAACGCGUGAACAAUCUGUCCCAUGCAGGGGGAUAACAGUUGGAAACGGCUGCUAAUACCGCAUAAGCGCACAGUACCGCAUGGUACGGUGUGAAAAACUCCGGUGGUAUGGGAUGGACCCGCGUCUGAUUAGCUUGUUGGUGAGGUAACGGCCCACCAAGGCGACGAUCAGUAGCCGACCUGAGAGGGUGACCGGCCACAUUGGGACUGAGACACGGCCCAAACUCCUACGGGAGGCAGCAGUGGGGAAUAUUGCACAAUGGGGGAAACCCUGAUGCAGCGACGCCGCGUGAGCGAAGAAGUAUUUCGGUAUGUAAAGCUCUAUCAGCAGGGAAGAAGAAUGACGGUACCUGACUAAGAAGCACCGGCUAAAUACGUGCCAGCAGCCGCGGUAAUACGUAUGGUGCAAGCGUUAUCCGGAUUUACUGGGUGUAAAGGGAGCGCAGGCGGUGCGGCAAGUCUGAUGUGAAAGCCCGGGGCUCAACCGCGGGACUGCAUUGGAAACUGUCGUACUAGAGUGUCGGAGAGGUAAGUGGAAUUCCUAGUGUAGCGGUGAAAUGCGUAGAUAUUAGGAGGAACACCAGUGGCGAAGGCGGCUUACUGGACGAUAACUGACGCUGAGGCUCGAAAGCGUGGGGAGCAAACAAAAUUAGAUACCCUGGUAGUCCACGCCGUAAACGAU